GGGGCUUAUAUUCGGAAGUUUACGGUAUUCUUAAUUUGUGAUGCAAUCAAGAUUAUUUUGACAUCUUCAUUUUGUAAAGAUCUUGGCUAUCAUCACACACAACACUUUGCCCUUAACGAGUGAUGUUGCCUGGGCUGAGACAACUAAUAGCCAAGUGGGGUACAUUGGUGCACUUUGCAGCUUAAAGGGGAAACAAAGGACAUGGGCAGAUAAUUUGAUUAAUUAUCCAUUAAUGUCCAAUAUGUUCCCCUAACAAGUGAAAUUUACAAAGUAGCGUAUACAGUAUCAUUAGUGUGUGUUGCAACUUUAGUGGUAUCUACAAGUUUCUAUGAGUGAGGUGGGGGGUUGAUUGAAGAGAGAUGUUUGGAAAUAUUUCAGUAAAUACGGUACAGUUAAUUUAUCAAAUUUAAAUAAUCAUACUGAGUAUGGAACAGUGAGAAAUAGUAUAAAGCAUUGAGAAAUGGCAGGACUGCUGUUUUCAAGUUAAUAAAGCAUUACCAUGUCUGUUGCAAUAUACAUACGGUAAUACCUUUAUGUUUUAUGUGUUGUCUAAAAUUACAUUAACAAGACAACGUUUCCAGUGAGC